GAUAAACGCUGGCGGCGUGCCUAACACAUGCAAGUCGAACGCCCUGGAGCAAUUCAGGGAGUGGCGGACGGGUGAGGAACACGUGGGUGAUCUACCUUGAGGUGAGGAAUACCGGCGAGAAAUCGCCGACAAUACCGCAUACGUUCGUAAGAACAAAGUCGCAAGACGCCUGAAGAUGAGCCUGCGUCCGAUUAGCCAGUUGGUGGGGUAAUGGCCUACCAAAGCAGCGAUCGGUAGCUGGUCUGAGAGGACGAUCAGCCACACUGGGAUUGAGAACGGCCCAGACUCCUACGGGGGGCGA
rnacentral:rRNA from 1 species